UACGGAGGGUGCGAGCGUUGUCCGGGUUUAUUGGGUUUAAAGGGUGCGUAGGUGGCUGUUUAAGUCAGUGGUGAAAUACGGUUGCUCAACAAUCGAGGUGCCAUUGAUACUGAAUAGCUUGAAAUAAUUGGAGGCUGCCGGAAUGGAUGGUGUAGCGGUGAAAUGCAUAGAUAUCAUCCAGAACACCGAUUGCGAAGGCAGGUGGCUACGAUUUGUUUGACACUGAGGCACGAAAGCAUGGGGAGCAAACAGG
rnacentral:rRNA from 1 species